rnacentral:rRNA from 1 species
AACGAACGCUGGCGGCAUGCCUAACACAUGCAAGUCGAACGAAGUCUUCGGACUUAGUGGCGCACGGGUGCGUAACGCGUGGGAAUCUACCUUUAGGUUCGGAAUAACUCACCGAAAGGUGUGCUAAUACCGGAUAAUGUCUUCGGACCAAAGAUUUAUCGCCUUUAGAUGAGCCCGCGUAAGAUUAGCUAGUUGGUGGGGUAAAAGCCUACCAAGGCGACGAUCUUUAGCUGGUCUGAGAGGAUGAUCAGCCACACUGGGACUGAGACACGGCCCAGACUCCUACGGGAGGCAGCAGUGGGGAAUAUUGGACGAUGGGCGAAAGCCUGAUCCAGCAAUGCCGCGUGAGUGAUGAAGGCCUUAGGGUUGUAAAGCUCUUUUACUGGGGAUGAUAAUGACAGUACCCAGAGAAUAAGCUCCGGCUAACUCCGUG